GAAAAUAGUCCUGUAUUGUGGAGAAGCGGUGAAUCGUGUCAGGUUGGGAACGAAGCAGCACUAAAUCGAUUUCUUCAGGUUUACAGGGUCGCUGUUUUUGAGC
rnacentral:SRP_RNA from 1 species